rnacentral:rRNA from 1 species
UACGUAGGGGGCAAGCGUUGUCCGGAGUUACUGGGCGUAAAGCGCCCGCAGGCGGUCGCGUCAGUUCGCGGUGACAGCUGCCGGCUUAACCGGCAGAGGACCGAGAAGACGGCGUGACUUGAGGGCCAGAGAGGGACAUGGAACUCCGGGUGGAGUGGUGAAAUGCGUAGAGAUCCGGAAGAACACCAAAGGCGAAGGCAGUGUCCUGGCUGGUACCUGACGCUCGGGGGCGAAAGCGAGGGGAGCGAACGGG